UACGUAGGGUGCGAGCGUUAUUCGGAAUUACUGGGCGUAAAGCGUGCGCAGGCGGUGAUGUAAGUCAGGUGUGAAAUCCCCGGGCUUAACCUGGGAACUGCAUUUGUGACUGCAUCGCUGGAGUGCGGCAGAGGGGGAUGGAAUUCCGCGUGUAGCAGUGAAAUGCGUAGAGAUGUGGAGGAACACCGAUGGCGAAGGCAGCCUCCUGGGCCAGUACUGACGCUCAUGCACGAAAGCGUGGGGAGCAAACAGG
rnacentral:rRNA from 1 species